CUUGCUUCUCUGGAUGAGUUGCGAACGGGUGAGUAACGCGUAGGUAACCUGCCUGAUAGCGGGGGAUAACUAUUGGAAACGAUAGCUAAUACCGCAUAAGAGUAGUUGUUGCAUGACAUUUGCUUAAAAGGUGCACUUGCAUCACUACCAGAUGGACCUGCGUUGUAUUAGCUAGUUGGUGGGGUAACGGCUCACCAAGGCGACGAUACAUAGCCGACCUGAGAGGGUGAUCGGCCACACUGGGACUGAGACACGGCCCAGACUCCUACGGGAGGCAGCAGUAGGGAAUCUUCGGCAAUGGACGGAAGUCUGACCGAGCAACGCCGCGUGAGUGAAGAAGGUUUUCGGAUCGUAAAGCUCUGUUGUAAGAGAAGAACGAGUGUGAGAGUGGAAAGUUCACACUGUGACGGUAUCUUACCAGAAAGGGACGGCUAACUACGUGCCAGCAGCCGCGGUAAUACGUAGGUCCCGAGCGUUGUCCGGAUUUAUUGGGCGUAAAGCGAGCGCAGGCGGUUAGAUAAGUCUGAAGUUAAAGGCUGUGGCUUAACCAUAGUAGGCUUUGGAAACUGUUUAACUUGAGUGCAAGAGGGGAGAGUGGAAUUCCAUGUGUAGCGGUGAAAUGCGUAGAUAUAUGGAGGAACACCGGUGGCGAAAGCGGCUCUCUGGCUUGUAACUGACGCUGAGGCUCGAAAGCGUGGGGAGCAAACAGGAUUAGAUANCCCUGGUAGUCCACGCUGUAAACGAUGAGUGCUAGGUGUUAGACCCU
rnacentral:rRNA from 1 species